GGAAUGGUGGUGUAGUGGUUAGCAUGUUUGCCUCACCUCUCUGCAUUGAGGGUUCAAUUCCCACAUGUUCUC